rnacentral:rRNA from 1 species
AUUGAACGCUGGCGGCAGGCUUAACACAUGCAAGUCGAGCGGUAGCACAAGAGAGCUUGCUCUCUGGGUGACGAGCGGCGGACGGGUGAGUAAUGUCUGGGAAACUGCCUGAUGGAGGGGGAUAACUACUGGAAACGGUAGCUAAUACCGCAUAACGUCGCAAGACCAAAGAGGGGGACCUUCGGGCCUCUUGCCAUCAGAUGUGCCCAGAUGGGAUUAGCUAGUAGGUGGGGUAAUGGCUCACCUAGGCGACGAUCCCUAGCUGGUCUGAGAGGAUGACCAGCCACACUGGAACUGAGACACGGACCAGACUCCUACGGGAGGCAGCAGUGGGGAAUAUUGCACAAUGGGCGCAAGCCUGAUGCAGCCAUGCCGCGUGUGUGAAGAAGGCCUUCGGGUUGUAAAGCACUUUCAGCGAGGAGGAAGGUGGUGAGCUUAAUACGCUCAUCAAUUGACGUUACUCGCAGAAGAAGCACCGGCUAACUCCGUG